rnacentral:rRNA from 1 species
GGUUACCUUGUUACGACUUCACCCCAGUCAUGAAACACAAAGUGGUAAUCGUCCUCCCGAAGGUUAGACUAACUACUUCUUUUGCAUCCCACUCCCAUGGUGUGACGGGCGGUGUGUACAAGGCCCGGGAACGUAUUCACCGCAGUAUUCUGACCUGCGAUUACUAGCGAUUCCGACUUCUUGGAGUCAAGUUGCAGA